UGAUGUUCUUCAUAGUGGGAUACAAAAGGUGUGUUAGUGACUGAAUAAGGAAAAUAUUGCGUGUGAAACAGGGUCAGUAUAGAGCCGGCAGGAGCCGCGAAGAGUGCUGUUGUCGAAGAAAAAUGUCACAAUUACAGUAAUUGUAAUCUUGUCCAUUCACCUCUGUGUCAGUUUAAAAAAGCUUUAAUGUAGAGACAUUUGUGGUUCCUCCAGCAUAAUUUAGCCGUUUAACGCUACUAUGUUUCUAAUGGUUGAAAGAGCGCGUGGAAAGGGCAAUUUUCAAGAACAAAAACAAUCGAUGUACUGUGUGUUAAUUGCUACUGUAGUAUAAAAAUACCUGAAGAGUCUCAAUUCUAAUAUUAAGUCGGUUAUAAACCUUGAUAAUAUUAAAGUUUUCAGAAGAUUUGUAUAUCAGAGGAAUAUUAAAAGGA